GAUGAACGCUGGCGGCGUGCCUAAUACAUGCAAGUCGAGCGAACGGACGAGAAGCUUGCUUCUCUGAUGUUAGCGGCGGACGGGUGAGUAACACGUGGAUAACCUACCUAUAAGACUGGGAUAACUUCGGGAAACCGGAGCUAAUACCGGAUGAUAUUUUGAACCGCAUGGUUCAAAAGUGAAAGACGGUCUUGCUGUCGCUUAUAGAUGGAUCCGCGCUGCAUUAGCUAGUUGGUAGGGUAACGGCUUACCAAGGCAACGAUGCAUAGCCGACCUGAGAGGGUGAUCGGCCACACUGGAACUGAGACACGGUCCAGACUCCUACGGGAGGCAGCAGUAGGGAAUCUUCCGCAAUGGGCGAAAGCCUGACGGAGCAACGCCGCGUGAGUGAUGAAGGUCUUCGGAUCGUAAAACUCUGUUAUUAGGGAAGAACAUAUGUGUAAGUAACUGUGCACAUCUUGACGGUACCUAAUCAGAAAGCCACGGCUAACUACGUG
rnacentral:rRNA from 1 species